rnacentral:rRNA from 1 species
CAGUAGCCGCGGUAAUACGGAGGGGGCUAGCGUUGUUCGGAAUUACUGGGCGUAAAGCGCACGUAGGCGGCUUGGUAAGUUAGAGGUGAAAGCCCGGAGCUCAACUCCGGAAUUGCCUUUAAGACUGCCGAGCUAGCAGGUGAGAGAGGUAAGUGGAAUUCCGAGUGUAGAGGUGAAAUUCGUAGAUAUUCGGAAGAACACCAGUGGCGAAGGCGGCUUACUGGCUCAUACUGGACGCUGAGGUGCGAAAGCGUGGGGAGCAAACAGGAUUAGAUACCCGAGUAGUCCCUGUCUCUUAUAC